CCACGAUGUAAAUAUCACAGGCUGAAAUCUUCUCAUGUCUACAAUGUCCUAAUUACUUUAUUAUUUUUUAUUUCUAUAAUUUCCAUAGGGUGCCAAAAGUUUUACUGAAAAUCAUCAAGACAAAGCUGCUGCAUAGAGAGCUAACAACUUCAAUUAGCAAAGUAGUCCCCCCAUAAGAAGAAACAGAACAGCAGGACCUGAAAUAGUGUAAGGUAUUUGGUUAAUUAAAAAAGGUUUCAUAAAGCAAGUUUUACCACAUUAAAUCUACUUGGAGGUUAUUUCUUCUUUAGUGAAGAGAAAGAUAUAGUUCAUAAUUAUUCAUUUUUAAUUUUUGAUUAGUGAA
rnacentral:lncRNA from 1 species